AGUGAACGCUGGCGGCAGGCCUAACACAUGCAAGUCGAGCGGCAGCGCGGGGGCAACCCUGGCGGCGAGCGGCGGACGGGUGAGGAAUUCGUCGGAAUCUGCCUUUUUGUGGGGGAUAACGUAGGGAAACUUACGCUAAUACCGCAUACGUCCUACGGGAGAAAGUGGGGGACCGCAAGGCCUCGCGCAGAAAGAUGAGCCGACGACCGAUUAGCUAGUUGGUGGGGUAAAGGCCCACCAAGGCGACGAUCGGUAGCUGGUCUGAGAGGAUGAUCAGCCACACUGGGACUGAGACACGGCCCAGACUCCUACGGGAGGCAGCAGUGGGGAAUAUUGGACAAUGGGCGCAAGCCUGAUCCAGCCAUGCCGCGUGUGUGAAGAAGGCCUUCGGGUUGUAAAGCACUUUUGUCCGGAAAGAAAUCCCUGGAGCUAAUACCUUCGGGGGAUGACGGUACCGGAAGAAUAAGCACCGGCUAACUUCGUG
rnacentral:rRNA from 1 species